rfam:Schistosoma mansoni strain Puerto Rico chromosome 2, complete genome
AUCCAGCUGACAAGUCCCAAAUAGGACAAAGUGGCGCGCGUCCUGGAU